rnacentral:rRNA from 1 species
ACUCAAAGGAAUUGACGGGGGCCCGCACAAGCGGUGGAGCAUGUGGUUUAAUUCGAUGCUACGCGAAAAACCUUACCUAGGCUUGACAUCCCGCGCUACCCCGUGAAAGCGGGGAUUCUCUUCGGAGACGCGGUGACAGGUGCUGCAUGGCUGUCGUCAGCUCGUGUUGUGAGAUGUUGGGUUAAGUCCCGCAACGAGCGCAACCCUCGUCACUAGUUGCCAUCAUUUAGUUGGGUACUCUAGUGAGACCGCUGACCUAUAAGGCAGAGGAAGGUGGGGAUGACGUCAAGUCCUCAUGGCCUUUAUGUCUAGGGCUACACACGUGCUACAAUGGGAGGCACAGAGCGCUGCCAACUCGCGAGAGUGAGCUAAUCGCAAAAAUCCUCCUUCAGUUCGGAUUGGAGUCUGCAACUCGACUCCAUGAAGCUGGAAUCGCUAGUAAUCGCGGAUCAGCACGCCGCGGUGAAUACGUUCCCGGGCCUUGUACACACCGCCCGU